ACCCGCACAUAAGUAUACGUAAAUGUAUUAUCUAAAGAGUACAUCCUUAUUUUGUUAAAAUGAGAGUGCUAGUAAAACAUAAAAAAACACAAGUUCGAAUAUGAUUAAUUGUAAUAUUUACUUUCCAUUAAUUGUAUUCUAAAUGAUAGAGAAUUUCUGUUAAUGAAAAUCAAUAUAUGCAUUCUCAAAUCGAAAAUUAAUACAUAUAACAACUGACCACUAACAUGCAUACAUAAUAGGACCAAAACAUAUUUUAUAGAGACGUGGCAUUUUUUAACUUCUUGGAUCAAGAACAAGCUCUCAUCUAUUUAUUUUGUGGAUCACAAAGCAUGGCAGAGAAAAUAAGAGGAAAUUCUUUAAUUAUUCAACGUGUUUGACGACAUCUCUCGAAUAUGAAUUCAGCAAAUGUUAUAAGAACGAUAAUUUAGCCUUUAACAACAAACAAUACCAUUUCCAAAAUGGGUAAUUUUUAAAAACCUCCCCUGAGAUUUGGGUUUAUUGCAAGUAGAUGGCGAGAAUUUGUUUAUUUGUAAAAUACCUCCUACCGUCAGUUAAUUUUUACAUUGACCGUUAGUUGACUGUGCAAAGACAAUAUUGCCCUUAACAACAGUUUAUAGUCUGACACAACUAAAAAAAACUGAAAUUGUUGGCGCAAAAAGGACAAACUCUAUUUUUUGAUAAUUUUAUCCCUGUCAAUUCCCAAAGAUUUACAAUAUCAUAGGGAAGGAUUAUGACUAUUUUACCCU
rnacentral:lncRNA from 1 species